AGUCGUACGCUUCUUUUUCACCGGAGCUUGCUCCACCGGAAAAAGAAGAGUGGCGAACGGGUGAGUAACACGUGGGUAACCUGCCCAUCAGAAGGGGAUAACACUUGGAAACAGGUGCUAAUACCGUAUAACAAUCGAAACCGCAUGGUUUUGAUUUGAAAGGCGCUUUCGGGUGUCGCUGAUGGAUGGACCCGCGGUGCAUUAGCUAGUUGGUGAGGUAACGGCUCACCAAGGCCACGAUGCAUAGCCGACCUGAGAGGGUGAUCGGCCACAUUGGGACUGAGACACGGCCCAAACUCCUACGGGAGGCAGCAGUAGGGAAUCUUCGGCAAUGGACGAAAGUCUGACCGAGCAACGCCGCGUGAGUGAAGAAGGUUUUCGGAUCGUAAAACUCUGUUGUUAGAGAAGAACAAGGAUGAGAGUAACUGUUCAUCCCUUGACGGUAUCUAACCAGAAAGCCACGGCUAACUACGUGCCAGCAGCCGCGGUAAUACGUAGGUGGCAAGCGUUGUCCGGAUUUAUUGGGCGUAAAGCGAGCGCAGGCGGUUUCUUAAGUCUGAUGUGAAAGCCCCCGGCUCAACCGGGGAGGGUCAUUGGAAACUGGGAGACUUGAGUGCAGAAGAGGAGAGUGGAAUUCCAUGUGUAGCGGUGAAAUGCGUAGAUAUAUGGAGGAACACCAGUGGCGAAGGCGGCUCUCUGGUCUGUAACUGACGCUGAGGCUCGAAAGCGUGGGGAGCAAACAGGAUUAGAUACCCUGGUAGUCCACGCCGUAAACGAUGAGUGCUAAGUGUUGGAGGGUUUCCGCCCUUCAGUGCUGCAGCUAACGCAUUAAGCACUCCGCCUGGGGAGUACGACCGCAAGGUUGAAACUCAAAGGAAUUGACGGGGGCCCGCACAAGCGGUGGAGCAUGUGGUUUAAUUCGAAGCAACGCGAAGAACCUUACCAGGUCUUGACAUCCUUUGACCACUCUAGAGAUAGAGCUUCCCCUUCGGGGGCAAAGUGACAGGUGGUGCAUGGUUGUCGUCAGCUCGUGUCGUGAGAUGUUGGGUUAAGUCCCGCAACGAGCGCAACCCUUAUUGUUAGUUGCCAUCAUUCAGUUGGGCACUCUAGCAAGACUGCCGGUGACAAACCGGAGGAAGGUGGGGAUGACGUCAAAUCAUCAUGCCCCUUAUGACCUGGGCUACACACGUGCUACAAUGGGAAGUACAACGAGUCGCGAAGUCGCGAGGCUAAGCUAAUCUCUUAAAGCUUCUCUCAGUUCGGAUUGUAGGCUGCAACUCGCCUACAUGAAGCCGGAAUCGCUAGUAAUCGCGGAUCAGCACGCCGCGGUGAAUACGUUCCCGGGCCUUGUACACACCGCCCGUCACACCACGAGAGUUUGUAACACCCGAAGUCGGUGAGGUAACCUU
rnacentral:rRNA from 1 species